GACGAACGCUGGCGGCGUGCUUAACACAUGCAAGUCGAACGAAGAGCGAUGGAAGCUUGCUUCUAUCAAUCUUAGUGGCGAACGGGUGAGUAACGCGUAAUCAACCUGCCCUUCAGAGGGGGACAACAGUUGGAAACGACUGCUAAUACCGCAUACGAUCUGACCUCGGCAUCGAGGAUAGAUGAAAGGUGGCCUCUAUUUAUAAGCUAUCACUGAAGGAGGGGAUUGCGUCUGAUUAGCUAGUUGGAGGGGUAACGGCCCACCAAGGCGAUGAUCAGUAGCCGGUCUGAGAGGAUGAACGGCCACAUUGGGACUGAGACACGGCCCAGACGCCUACGGGAGGCAGCAGUGGGGAAUCUUCCGCGAUGGACGAAAGUCUGACGGAGCAACGCCGCGUGAGUGAUGACGGCCUUCGGGUUGUAAAGCUCUGUUAAUCGGGACGAAAGGCCUUCUUGCGAAUAGUUAGAAGGAUUGACGGUACCGGAAUAGAAAGCCACGGCUAACUACGUG
rnacentral:rRNA from 1 species